AUAAAAGCAGGGAUCUGUUGCCAUAUGUGAACUGGUCUCUUGUAAACUUCAGGGACAAAAAAAUUGCAUUGUUAUUGGGUGAACCUCUUGAGUUUUCAAUGACUGAUGGUUCAGUAAAUGAUGUUACAUUG
rnacentral:snoRNA from 1 species